UACGGGGGGAGCAAGCGUUGUUCGGAUUUACUGGGCGUAAAGGGCGCGUAGGCGGCGCAACAAGUCACUUGUGAAAUCUCCGGGCUUAACCCGGAGCGGCCAAGUGAUACUGUCGUGCUAGAGUGCGGAAGGGGCUACUGGAAUUCUCGGUGUAGCGGUGAAAUGCGUAGAUAUCGAGAGGAACACCUGCGGCGAAGGCGGGUAGCUGGGCCAACACUGACGCUGAAGCGCGAAAGCCAGGGGAGCGAACGGG
rnacentral:rRNA from 1 species